UGUGGGAGCGAGCCUGCUCGCGAAAGCGGUUUAUCAGUCAGAUUAUUGUCGACUGACACUCCGCCUUCGCGAGCAGGCUCGCUCCCACA
rnacentral:misc_RNA from 1 species